ACGUAGGAUGCAAGCGUUGUCCGGAAUUAUUGGGCGUAAAGAGUUCGUAGGCGGCAUGUCAAGUCUGGUGUUAAAGUCCGGGGCUCAACCCCGGUUUCGCACUGGAUACUGGCAAGCUAGAGUGCAGAAGAGGCAAGGGGAAUUCCCAGUGUAGCGGUGAGAUGCGUAGAUAUUGGGAGGAACACCGGUGGCGGAAGCGCCUUACUGUGCUGUUUCUGAGGCUGAUGAACGAAAGGCAGGGGAGCGAAUGG
rnacentral:rRNA from 1 species